CAGUCGCCACGGGAAUACGUAGGGUGCGAGCGUUAAUCGGAAUUACUGGGCGUAAAGCGUGCGCAGGCGGUUCGUUAAGACAGAUGUGAAAUCCCCGGGCUUAACCUGGGAACUGCAUUUGUGACUGGCGAGCUAGAGUAUGGCAGAGGGGGGUAGAAUUCCACGUGUAGCAGUGAAAUGCGUAGAAAUGUGGAGGAAUACCGAUGGCGAAGGCAGCCCCCUGGGCCAAUACUGACGCUCAUGCACGAAAGCGUGGGGAGCAAACAGGAUUAGAUACCCCGGUAGUCCCUGUCUCUUAUAA
rnacentral:rRNA from 1 species